GAUGAACGCUGGCGGCGUGCCUAAUACAUGCAAGUCGAACGGGAGACCUGGUUUCGACCGGGUUGAGAGUGGCGCACGGGUGAGGAACACAUGGCUGACCUGCCCUUCAGAGGGGGAUAA
rnacentral:rRNA from 1 species